rnacentral:rRNA from 1 species
UCGUCAAUAUGUUUAAUAUAUAUAAAUAUUAUGAUGUAAAUUUUUUUUUUGGCUUUAUUGUUGAUUUAAAAAUUUAUACAUAUAUUUAUUAUUUUAUUGUUUUACAUUGUCGGCGUGCACUUCUUUUCUAGUAGGACAUCGCGACCCGUUGGGUAUUGAUCUACGGCCAAAUUGGGUAGCCUUUAAUCGUUAAAACAUUAAAGACCAAUUUGUGUUUUCCUGAUCAAUUGCCCGGCGGUAUUCGUAUGGUAUUGAGUCGCAUUGAUUAUAAUUUGCGUCCUCCACCCGUCACAAGCCAGGCCAGUUAAUAAUUUUUAUAUUUAUAUAUUAAUUAUUUUGCUUAGUAGUGCGGACCUAGUGCCGUCAUUAAGCCUGUCCAGCUGUUGGUUUUUUUAGUACGGUGUUCUGGGACUGACUUUAAAUAUAAUAAUACCGGUCGGCGAUGCUACUGCUUUGGGUACUUUCAGGACCCGUCUUGAAACACGGACCAAGGAGUCUAACAUGUACGCAAGUCAUUGGGAUUUUUUUUAAUUAAAAAAAUUAAACCUAAAGGCGUAAUGAAAGUAAAGAUUAACUUUAUGUUAAUUUAGGGAGGAUGUUUUUUAUUACGAUAUUAAACCGCACUCCCGGGGCGUCUUAUUCUUAUUUUAUA